AAAAAGCCACUUGGCAAGAUAAAAAGACCGGAUAAAUUCAAGCCGCAAAAAUCAGUUUUGAAGAGCACAGUUUUUUUGAAGACCCAGUUUUGUUUCUCAAUUAACAUAACCCUAAUCAGAAUCCAAGCCCUGUGCUCUCUCACUUUAAUCCAGGUGAUACCAAGAAUAUUUUCAGAAGCUACUAGAGUAUAUCUCUAUUAUAUUUUUGCGGACGGAGCCCUUGUGUGAUCUUGAUAGGAUGUUCUCGAAGAAAUGCAGAGAGGAGGACGAACAGGGGCAUAGAUAUUUUUUUUGCAUUCCUCCCUUCUGGUAAGUUUUAUUCAUAUUUGGUUUUCCUCUUUUUAUUCAUAUUUGGUUUUCCUCUUUCAUCAUGUUUUACUGGUGGACUCUGUACAUGCAUUUGUUUGUGUCUUCAAAUGUUUUUAUGGGAAGUUUCUGCUUAGUUGCAGAAGUUGCUGAAUCACUUAACACACUAAAUUUUCAUCCGCAGCGGAAAAAAAAAGGAACUUUUACACUACCAAGGUGGGUUAGACAAAAUUUCCAAAAUAAUUAAGCAAUUUUCUAUUCCAAUUUUACCCCUUAAGGAUUUUAUUAGGUAAACAUCUAUCGUUUAACAAUUCCAAAGAUACAUCAUUGGCAUUCACCAAAAUCGAUUGACAUGAAAACAAGUUCACCUAUAUGCCUUUGCUUAUAUCAACUAACUGAGAUCAAUAUUAGUAAUAUUUAUCUUCAUAAAUAGAGAUGUAUUAUCUUAAGAAGUUGAUAUUUGUUUAUCUUUUGACUCAAGUGAUGUAUAUUAAGUGCUACUAGGUUAAUGCUAAAAUUAAUUGUUGUUUGUUUGUCUUAUAUGAGUUCUCUGUAGUAUAAUACUCUCAUGUGGGGAAAAACUAAAUGGAGGAGAAAGUUCUCAAAAUGGAAAAUAGGUAGAUGGAGAACAGUCAACAUAUCAUGAAUCCUCUGUUCCUUGCAGUUGCAUUUUGCAUAUUCUAAUUUAACAUUUGUUGGUGAUUAGGAAAUCCUUCUUUGAGCUUUUCUUUUUGGCAGUAUGAGUUUCUUGACAGUUUGUAUAUACCAAUUUAAAAAUGUGAAAGAACCAACAUUCUUUGACAUAUCCUUUGUGUUCGAUAAUAUUGGUUAAAGAAGAAAGAAAAAAAAUAUGGACAUCACAGGGUGCGAGUUAUGGGUAUAUAAGGACUGAUAAUAGAAAUAAUUGAGAGGUACAUUUUGAUGAUCUGUUGCAUCCUAUAUAUUACUUUAUAAUUUUUAUGUCGAAGUUGUUGGUUCGUGUUAAUACCAUAAUUUGUGGUGGUAUUUCUUAUGGCGUCAAUGACAGUUCUGACUAUACAUAAAUUAAAUCUUUAUCUUAUCAAAAAAUACAAAACUUAAAUUAAUCAUUGUUAUUGUAGAAAUUCUGACAGAGAAGGUUCUUGAAGGUAAUUGAGAGGUAUAUUUUGAUGAUCUAUUGCAUAUUAUAUAUUAUUUAUUUUUGUGUCGAAGUUGUUGGUUAGUGUUAAUACCAACCUGAUUUGCUUAGGUUCAUGAUGUAUUAAUUUUCUAUGUUUUAAGUGAGAAAAACAAAGAAAAGCUAUUCAUGAAGUGAAUGAAGAAUCUAAAGCUCCAUUUCAAGAUCAACAUCCAAGAUAGGGAUUUCAACAACAAAAGAGCACUUGAGCAAUUAAAUAUAGUGAAUUCACACAAAAAAGAUCUGCGAAGAUACCAAAUAAGUGGCUAAUUUGGGAAUGUAUUGACCUAUAUUACCUGUUCUUACAUUUUGUAAAGAAUUCCCCAAAACCGUUGGAAUCUCUAUUUGAAGUGCUGGAACUCUAUUUUAACUAUUAGGGCUCAUUUAAAUUAAUUGUUGUGCUAAAAUACAAUUGUAAGACUCGAUAUUGUACUUGGGGUUACUGUUAACGCAGAGGAUAAGGGUUAAUAGUUUUGGGAUC